rnacentral:rRNA from 1 species
AUGAACGCUAGCGGCAGGCUUAACACAUGCAAGUCGAGGGGCAGCAUGAGACGGAGAUUCGUCGAAGUCUUGAUGGCGACCGGCGCAAGGGUGCGUAACGCGUGAGCAACUUGCCCGUUUCUGGGGGAAUAACCGGUGGAAACGCCGACUAAUACCCCACAGCAUAUUUAGGAGGCAUCUCUUGAAUAUUAAAGAAUUUCGGAAACGGAUAGGCUCGCGUGACAUUAGCUAGAUGGCGGGGUAACGGCCCACCAAGGCGACGAUGCAUAGGGGUUCUGAGAGGAAGGUCCCCCACACUGGUACUGAGACACGGACCAGACUCCUACGGGAGGCAGCAGUGAGGAAUAUUGGUCAAUGGGCGAGAGCCUGAACCAGCCAAGUCGCGUGAGGGAUGACGGUCCUAUGGAUUGUAAACCUCUUUUGUCGGGGAGCAAGAGCUCUACGAGUAGAGUAGUGAGAGUACCCGAAGAAAAAGCAUCGGCUAACUCCGUG